AAUGCACAGCUUCUCCGCGGUCAGCGGGCUGGUCUCUUUGAGUUUGGAGGCCAGGAACAUGCAGACAGCACCCAGGAGUUGCAGAUGGGACUUCGGAGUCGGGACCCCAGCCAAGAAACGGUCCAGGAAGAAUCUACCAUAAAACCAACAGACUCCUCCUGAUCUCUACCUGUGCUGUCUGCCUCUCUAGUUCCGGACACUGAGAGCUGGUGCCCUGUGGCCACCUCAAGCUGGAACCCUGCAAGAUCACCAAGAAGACUGCAUGCCUCGCUCUAGCCUUCCUAAGGGAAAGUAGACUCCUGUUUUUGAGAGAAAUUACCUGAUUUCAAGAGAAACAUAAAGGACUUUUUUUCCCUUAACAUUCCACUCGUAAAAAUGAAGUUUGGAAGAACUUCUGCAAACUCUGAGUGUUUUGGUCAAUUGACCUUUUACUGUACUAAGCAAAUCUGAAGCCACAAAUACAUUGGGGAGGAAGGUAUACCCUUCACAAAAGAUCCGUCACUUAGCCAGAUACUCUGUUGCCAUGCUUCUUUAAAUAAAGCACAUUUCUGGUAU
rnacentral:lncRNA from 1 species